ACUCAAAGGAAUAGACGGGGGCCCGCACAAGCGGUGGAGUAUGUGGUUCAAUUCGAUGCAACGCGAAAAACCUUACCUGGGCUUGACAUCCGACGCUAUCCUAUGAAAGUAGGAGUUCCCGCAAGGGACGUCGAGACAGGUGCUGCAUGGCUGUCGUCAGCUCGUGUCGUGAGAUGUUGGGUUAAGUCCCGCAACGAGCGCAACCCUUGUGGUUAGUUGCCAUCAUUAAGUUGGGCACUCUAAUCAGACCGCUUGCCGAUAAGGCAGAGGAAGGUGGGGAUGACGUCAAGUCAGCAUGGCCCUUACGCCCAGGGCCACACACGUACUACAAUGACCGGUACAAUGCGUCGCAAGCAUGCGAAUGCAAGCUAAUCGCAGAAAACCGGUCUCAGUUCGGAUUGGAGUCUGCAACUCGACUCCAUGAAGCUGGAAUCGCUAGUAAUCGUGGAUCAGCAUGCCACGGUGAAUACGUUCCCGGGCCUUGCACACACCGCCCGU
rnacentral:rRNA from 1 species